UCUGUGUGCCUGGACCGAUGUGUCUCUAA
rnacentral:piRNA from 1 species